rnacentral:rRNA from 1 species
AUCUACAGUCACACCACCCUGAACAUGGCAUCUGAUUACAGGGUCUGGCCUGGUUAAUACUUUGGAUGGGAGACUGCCUGGGAAUAGUGGGUUUUAUAGGUU